rnacentral:rRNA from 1 species
AAAUGCGUAGAUAUAUGGAGGAACACCAGUGGCGAAGGCGGCUCUCUGGUCUGUAACUGACGCUGAGGCUCGAAAGCGUGGGGAGCGAACAGGAUUAGAUACCCUGGUAGUCCACGCCGUAAACGAUGAGUGCUAAGUGUUGGAGGGUUUCCGCCCUUCAGUGCUGCAGCAAACGCAUUAAGCACUCCGCCUGGGGAGUACGACCGCAAGGUUGAAACUCAAAGGAAUUGACGGGGGCCCGCACAAGCGGUGGAGCAUGUGGUUUAAUUCGAAGCAACGCGAAGAACCUUACCAGGUCUUGACAUCCUUUGACCACUCUAGAGAUAGAGCUUCCCCUUCGGGGGCAAAGUGACAGGUGGUGCAUGGUUGUCGUCAGCUCGUGUCGUGAGAUGUUGGGUUAAGUCCCGCAACGAGCGCAACCCUUAUUGUUAGUUGCCAUCAUUUAGUUGGGCACUCUAGCGAGACUGCCGGUGACAAACCGGAGGAAGGUGGGGAUGACGUCAAAUCAUCAUGCCCCUUAUGACCUGGGCUACACACGUGCUACAAUGGGAAGUACAACGAGUUGCGAAGUCGCGAGGCUAAGCUAAUCUCUUAAAGCUUCUCUCAGUUCGGAUUGUAGGCUGCAACUCGCCUACAUGAAGCCGGAAUCGCUAGUAAUCGCGGAUCAGCACGCCGCGGUGAAUACGUUCCCGGGCCUUGCACACAC